rnacentral:rRNA from 1 species
ACGCUGGCGGCGUGCCUAAUACAUGCAAGUAGAACGCUGAAGAGAGGAGCUUGCUCUUCUUGUAUGAGUUGCGAACGGGUGAGUAACGCGUAGGUAACCUGCCUUGUAGCGGGGGAUAACUAUUGGAAACGAUAGCUAAUACCGCAUAACAAUGGGUGACACAUGUCAUUUAUUUGAAAGGGGCAAUUGCUCCACUACAAGAUGGACCUGCGUUGUAUUAGCUAGUAGGUGAGGUAACGGCUCACCUAGGCGACGAUACAUAGCCGACCUGAGAGGGUGAUCGGCCACACUGGGACUGAGACACGGCCCAGACUCCUACGGGAGGCAGCAGUAGGGAAUCUUCGGCAAUGGGGGCAACCCUGACCGAGCAACGCCGCGUGAGUGAAGAAGGUUUUCGGAUCGUAAAGCUCUGUUGUAAGUCAAGAACGAGUGUGAGAGUGGAAAGUUCACACUGUGACGGUAGCUUACCAGAAAGGGACGGCUAACUACGUGCCAGCAGCCGCGGUAAUACGUAGGUCCCGAGCGUUGUCCGGAUUUAUUGGGCGUAAAGCGAGCGCAGGCGGUUUGAUAAGUCUGAAGUUAAAGGCUGUGGCUCAACCAUAGUUCGCUUUGGAAACUGUCAAACUUGAGUGCAGAAGGGGAGAGUGGAAUUCCAUGUGUAGCGGUGAAAUGCGUAGAUAUAUGGAGGAACACCGGUGGCGAAAGCGGCUCUCUGGUCUGUAACUGACGCUGAGGCUCGAAAGCGUGGGGAGCGAACAGGAUUAGAUACCCUGGUAGUCCACGCCGUAAACGAUGAGUGCUAGGUGUUGGAUCCUUUCCGGGAUUCAGUGCCGCAGCUAACGCAUUAAGCACUCCGCCUGGGGAGUACGACCGCAAGGUUGAAACUCAAAGGAAUUGACGGGGGCCCGCAC